rnacentral:rRNA from 1 species
UGGGGAAUCGUUCCGCAAUGGACGAAAGUCUGACGGAGCAACGCCGCGUGUAUGAUGAAGGUCUUCGGAUUGUAAAGUACUGUCAUUGGGGAAGAACGGUUUUCUUGAAAAGAUUGAGAAGACAUGACGGUACCCAAGGAGGAAGCCCCGGCUAACUACGUGCCAGCAGCCGCGGUAAUACGUAGGGGGCCAAGCGUUGUCCCGGAAUUAUUGGGGCGUAAAGGGCGCGUAGGCGGGCCUUUAAGUCCGGUGUGAAAGAUCAGGGCUCAACCCUGAGAGUGCAUCGGAACUGGAGGCUUGAGGACAGGAGAGGAAAGUGGAAUUCCACGUGUAGCGGUGAAAUGCGUAGAUAUGUGGAGGAACACCAGUGGCGAAGGCGACUUUCUGGACUGUAACUGACGCUGAGGCGCG